rnacentral:rRNA from 1 species
AAUGCCUAGGAAUCUGCCUAGUGGUGGGGGAUAACGUUCGGAAACGGACGCUAAUACCGCAUACGUCCUACGGGAGAAAGCGGGGGAUCUUCGGACCUCGCGCCAUUAGAUGAGCCUAGGUCGGAUUAGCUAGUUGGUGAGGUAAAGGCUCACCAAGGCGACGAUCCGUAACUGGUCUGAGAGGAUGAUCAGUCACACUGGAACUGAGACACGGUCCAGACUCCUACGGGAGGCAGCAGUGGGGAAUAUUGGACAAUGGGCGAAAGCCUGAUCCAGCCAUGCCGCGUGUGUGAAGAAGGUCUUCGGAUUGUAAAGCACUUUAAGUUGGGAGGAAGGGUCGUAACCUAAUACGUUACGGCUUUGACGUUACCGACAGAAUAAGCACCGGCUAACUUCGUGCCAGCAGCCGCGGUAAUACGAAGGGUGCAAGCGUUAAUCGGAAUUACUGGGCGUAAAGCGCGCGUAGGUGGUUCAGCAAGUUGGAUGUGAAAGCCCUGGGCUCAACCUGGGAACUGCAUCCAAAACUACUGAGCUAGAGUACGGUAGAGGGUAGUGGAAUUUCCUGUGUAGCGGUGAAAUGCGUAGAUAUAGGAAGG